GCUUACGGCCAUACCAGCCUGUGUACGUCCGAUCUCGUCUGAUCUCGGAAGCUAAGCAGGGUCGGGCCUGGUUAGUACUUGGAUGGGAGACCGCCUGGGAAUACCAGGUGCUGUAAGCA
rnacentral:rRNA from 1 species